rnacentral:lncRNA from 1 species
UUUACUCCUGGCUCCACUGUGAUGGGUGACCUGCAUGUGUCUGAAGGUCAGCUCAUCGAUGCCGGUGUGUUCUACACACUGAGGAACGGCCUGCACACCAUCUUCAGUCAGUACAGCAUGUGUAUGCUGACGUUAGGCAGCAACACGACCGCCGUCAUCAGUGAGAAUGGACGGUUUGCUGUGGUGGACAGCCAUUCACGUAGUCGUGUUGGCUUGUUGCACCACAGCGGCAGCAGCGUGCUUCUGCAGUUUGCGUGUCUGGACGACCUGCACCACUACAUCCGACGGUUGGCCGACAGCCUGAUUUCAGGCCAGCAGCUCUUUGAGCUGUGUGGCAUUACUGUGGGUGGGGGUGCAGGUCCAGCGCCGUCUGGUGUUCCUCUGGAGAGUCACGUCUCUGAGACGAGUUCUGCUCCAGCACCAGAGUCCCCUGAGGACACUGAGAGCAGAACACCGGCUGAGGCUCAUACAGGCUCUUGUGUGUCUGAGAGUGGUGUUGGUGUUGCUGCCAGUCCGGCGCUGUCUCGUAUUUCUGCAGAGAGUCGUGUGUGUGAGAAGAGUGUUGUCGUGCCGGUGGAGAGAUCACAGAUUGUCGGAGCCAAGUCUGCUGUGUUUCCGAGGUCAGAGCCCGUUAAGUCAAGUGUUUUGAGUGUAGCUGGUCCAGCAGCAGUGGUUGAUGUGAGGACAGGGAUCAGGCUGCUGAAGGUUGUCCAGGGAUCCUUCCAUCAGGGCAGCUCCAGGUUUAGCAAUGGGGGGGUGCAGUGCAUGGCGAUAGCUGCUUUCAGCUUAGCCAGACACACGUUGAACAGUGUGUUCUCGUGGGGGAGGCAGGAGCUUGAUGACGUGUUGGUCUUGGGUGAUGCUUUCUUCACCUGGGUGAUGGGCCGCCCUGGCUUCAGGCCUUGGUCGUCUUUUCUGUCCGUGACUGAACUGCCAACGCAGAUCCAGGUGGAUGAGCAGGUGCUGGAGUUCACUCAUGGCACCACUGUGAUGGGUGACCUUCAUGUGUCUGAAGGUCACCUCAUCGAUGCCGGUGUCUUCUACACGCUGAGGAACGGCCUGCUCACCAUCUUCAGUCAGUACAGCAUGUGUCUCCUGACCAUGUGUGCCAACACGACCGCCAUCAUCAGUGAGAAUGGACGGUUUGCUGUGGUGGACAGCCAUCCACGUAGUCGUGUUGGCUUGUUGCACCACAGCGGCAGCAGCGUGCUUCUGCAGUUUGCGUGUCUGGACGACCUGCACCACUACAU